GAGAGCACAGUACGAUGAAAGUUGUAAGCUGUGUUUAGGGGGGAGUUAUUGUCUAUCGUUGGCCUCUAUGGUAGAAUCAUUCGGGGGGCCCGAGAGGUGGUGGUUUACCCUGU
rnacentral:ncRNA from 1 species